AAGCUUUUAAAGGUAAAACGUGCCGAUCAUUUAUAUGUAUUGUUUCUUUUUCUCUUAUCACAGCUUUUAAGGAAAAAGAAAGAAAAAGUCUAUUUCCAAAUAUAUUUCCCGGGAAGAUCUGAAUUCUUCAGGUAAUUUGAUGAUGGACCCUAAUACGUGUGAGAUCCUGUGCCCAGUGAAGCCCGGUUUACAAGAGAGCAGCCAAGGAGAUCUUUUGCAGUUAAUGAGUCCCCACGCAGCUGGACAGCUCCUCUCGGACACUGAGAACUCUAACCCCAAAAUGACCCCAAUUUGACACCGCAAGAUGAAAUUUUACCGCCUGUUAAAACCAUUUCCAGCCUGAGCAAAAGGAGCUGACUGUUGACGGAGGUGUGUGCCGCCUCCUGCGACCCCCAUCUCACGCCUGUCUCCUGGGCCUGCCCCACCUACUUUUCCUUUACCCCAAAUGUGGGCGAGCAGAUGAGCCUCACAGCCCGGGCGGGGUUGCGGAGGCUGAGAAUGGAGCAUCAGCAAUGUUCUAUCAGACUAGAAAUCAGAAAGCCGGCGUACCCCACUGCUUUGGAAUAGCUUCUGUAGGACUGCAAAAUUGGGGGUUAGGGGAGACUAUGGAGUUCUUAAACGUUUUUCAGCUCUAUUAAUAAAACAACAGCAAGUUGGUGAUUAAAAGUAAUAGUCCUUUGAAGUCAUCAGAUUGACCAAGAACCGACAUCGUGAAUCACCUCCAACUUGAUCUUGUGUGUAAUCCAUCGCACUGAGAUGCUGUUUUAAACUAACGGUUUCAUAAAUUACAUGCAACUAGGUAACUGAAAUCUCUUUAGUCGAAUGAAAUUCGAGGUUCUCCUCUUAAGCAACUGAUGAAUUUUUAAAUGACAAGAGAUUUUCCUCCAGAAGGACUUCACUUUUAACACUUUCACACUUCUUAACUAAAGUCUUUGGAGUUUAAGUAUCAUUGUUUUUUUUCUUUAACACUACCUCAAAAUGUCCAUUUCUCUCUUCUUCCCACAUUUAAACAGAUUGUCCCAGUUAUUUGCUUUAAUGUUUUCAAUAAAAUGCAAAAGAAGUUACGGGAUAUUAGAGAGAGAGAGAAAGAAAGGAAGAAAGGAGUUCGGGUUAAAAUGCCUUCUGCAUUGCCCAAAGGAUGAAAACACAUGAAAAUAGAGUUUGAACUUUUUUCUUUUGUAAAGCCCAAGAUUACAACGGAGUAAUCAAGCCAUUACUAGCUUAACAAUUAUUUGAAAAUACAGAAAUCUUCAACCUGUCUGAAUUGCUUUUACUUGGAUACACUGCCACUGAAGAAACAUUAAAAAAAAAAACUAGUGUAGUAUUUCUAAAGAAAGGCUGUAGGAAUGAUAACUCACUUCAGAGUACCAUGGAAGAAGUGAUGGUAAAAGCAGCGGAAGAUAGCAACUUUGAAUGUUUAAACUCUGCGAUGCAGAGGUUCGGUUCGACGUUGAUUUUUACAAAAGAAGCAUCUAUCAAGUAAAUUGAGUGUCUUUUUAAAAAGAAAAGUAAUUGGUGCUUACUAUGCCGGACACUUAAAACAACAAUAACCCUACUGGCGACAACAAAUACGCAAUAUUGAAAAUAAGAACAGUUAGAAAAGUCAAAACUGAAAAAUUGAGUAUAAACUUCUCAGCUAGCGGCGCUACACCGGGACCGUGGAUCCAUCAAUAUAAAGACCUCUGCAAAGUCGAAAAAGCUCCGCAGCGAGACUAGUUUGUUUGUUUGUUUUCUCUCAUCCUUCCCGCCCCGGCUAAAAAUGAAUUCGCAUAACUGCCUCUUGAAAUAAAAUUCUGGAAGCCA